GGCACCAAGACAGAACCAGGAACUGCCCCAGGAGUGACUUCACGAGCAGUUUAUUCCUUGCAAUUGUUCUCAUGGUGAUAAAGAAAAAGUACCAGGAGAUUGAUCCUGGACUGGAAAGUCAGAGAAGCCUCCCUGAAAAGGUGGCAUCUAAGCUGAGGCUGUGAAUGCUGAGCAGAAGUUAGCCAGUGGCCAGGGGAGGUCAGAGGCUGGAGUAAGAGGUGGGCGCUGCAGGAACCGAGUAAUGAAGGACUCGUGCAUUAGAGGAAGGGGGAGAAAUGCUCUGCCCACAGGAUGUGGUGAAGGGUGAGCGGAGAUGGAGUAAAGAACUGCAUCUGGCUGGGUGCAGUGGCUCAUGCCUAUAAUCCCAGCACUUUGGGAGGCUGAGGCAGGCGGAUCAUGAGGUCAGGAGUUCAAGACCAGCCUGGCCUACACGGUGAAACCCCGACUCUACUAAAAAUACAAAACUUGGCUGGAUGUGGUGGCACAUGCCUGUAAUCCCAGCUACUUGGGAGGCUGAGGCAGGAGAAUUGCUUGAACUGAGGAGGUGGAGUUUGCAGUGAGCUGAGAUUGCCCUGCUGUACUCCAGCCUGGGCGACAGAGCGAGACUCCGUCUCAAAAAAAAAAAAAAAAAGGCUUUCAACAGCCUUACAGAGUCUGUGCUCUUUUGAUUGUUAACCUCUUUUUUUUUUCCUACCUUUAGUUUUCUCCAGGGUGUUUUCACGCAAUUGGAAGAUUAUUUGGCCUCUUUCUGAACAAUGUCCAGCUGGGUCCCAGCCUCACAGAGAAGCUAUGUUUGGAAUUAGCAAACACAAGCAUUCGGAAUCUGUCUCUGAGUAACAGCCAGCUGUCCACCACCAGCAAUACAACUUUCUUGGGACUAAAGUGGACAAAUCUCACUAUGCUCGAUCUUUCCUACAACAACUUAAAUGUGGUUGGUAACGAUUCCUUUGCUUGGCUUCCACAUCUAGAAUAUUUCUUCCUGGAUUAUAAUAAUAUACAGCAUUUGUUUUCUCACUCUUUGCACGGGCUUUUCAAUGUGAGGUACCUGAAUUUGAAACGGUCUUUUACUAAACAAAGUAUUUCCCUUGCUUCACUCCCCAAGAUUGAUGAUUUUUCUUUUCAGUGGCUAAAAUGUUUGGAGCACCUUAACAUGGAAGAUAAUGAUAUUCCAGGCAUAAAAAGCAAUAUGUUCACAGGAUUGAUAAACCUGAAAUACUUAAGUCUAUCCAACUCCUUUUCAAGUUUGCGAACUUUGACAAAUGAAACAUUUGUAUCACUUGCUCAUUCUCCCUUACACAUACUCAACCUAACCAAGAAUAAAAUCUCAAAAAUAGAGAGUGAUGCUUUCUCUUGGUUGGGCCACCUAGAAGUACUUGACCUGGGCCUUAAUGAAAUUGGGCAAGAACUCACAGGCCAGGAAUGGAGAGGUCUAGAAAAUAUUUUCGAAAUCUAUCUUUCCUACAACAAGUACCUGCAGCUGACUAGGAACUCCUUUGCCUUGGUCCCAAGCCUUCAACGACUGAUGCUCCGAAGGGUGGCCCUUAAAAAUGUGGAUAGCUCUCCUUCACCAUUCCAGCCUCUUCGUAACUUGACCAUUCUGGAUCUGAGCAACAACAACAUAGCCAACAUAAAUGAUGACAUGUUGGAGGGUCUUGAGAAACUAGAAAUUCUCGAUUUGCAGCAUAACAACUUAGCACGGCUCUGGAAACAUGCGAACCCUGGUGGUCCCGUUUAUUUCCUAAAGGGUCUGUCUCACCUCCACAUCCUUAACUUGGAGUCCAACGGCUUUGACGAGAUCCCAGUUGAGGUCUUCAAGGAUUUAUUUGAACUAAAGAUCAUCGAUUUAGGAUUGAAUAAUUUAAACACACUUCCAGCAUCUGUCUUUAAUAAUCAGGUGUCUCUAAAGUCAUUGAACCUUCAGAAGAAUCUCAUAACAUCCAUUGAGAAGAAGGUUUUCGGGCCAGCUUUCAGGAACCUGACUGAGUUAGAUAUGCGCUUUAAUCCCUUUGAUUGCACGUGUGAAAGUAUUGCCUGGUUUGUUAAUUGGAUUAACGAGACCAAUACCAACAUCCCUGAGCUGUCAAGCCACUACCUUUGCAACACUCCACCUCACUAUCAUGGGUUCCCAGUGAGACUUUUUGAUACAUCGUCUUGCAAAGACAGUGCCCCCUUUGAACUCUUUUUCAUGAUCAAUACCAGUAUCCUGUUGAUUUUUAUCUUUAUUGUACUUCUCAUCCACUUUCAGGGCUGGAGGAUAUCUUUUUAUUGGAAUGUUUCAGUACAUCGAGUUCUUGGUUUCAAAGAAAUAGACAGACAGACAGAACAGUUUGAAUAUGCAGCAUAUAUAAUUCAUGCCUAUAAAGAUAAGGAUUGGGUCUGGGAACAUUUCUCUUCAAUGGAAAAGGAAGACCAAUCUCUCAAAUUUUGUCUGGAAGAAAGGGACUUUGAGGCGGGUGUUUUUGAACUAGAAGCAAUUGUUAACAGCAUCAAAAGAAGCAGAAAAAUUAUUUUUGUUAUAACACACCAUCUAUUAAAAGACCCAGUAUGCAAAAGAUUCAAGGUACAUCAUGCAGUUCAACAAGCUAUUGAACAAAAUCUGGAUUCCAUUAUACUGGUUUUCCUUGAGGAGAUUCCAGAUUAUAAACUGAACCAUGCACUCUGUUUGCGAAGAGGAAUGUUUAAAUCUCACUGCAUCUUGAACUGGCCAGUUCAGAAAGAACGGAUAGGUGCCUUUCGUCAUAAAUUGCAAGUAGCACUUGGAUCCAAAAACUCUGUACAUUAAAUUUAUUUAAAUAUUCAAUUAGCAAAGGAGAAACUUUCUCAAUUUAAAAAGUUCUAUGGCAAAUUUAAGUUUUCCAUAAAGGUGUUAUAAUUUGUUUAUUCAUAUUUGUAAAUGAUUAUAUUCUAUCACAAUUAUAUCUCUUCUAGGAAAA
rnacentral:sRNA from 1 species